UUGUUCCUACGGGGGGCAGCAGUGAGGAAUAUUGGUCAAUGGGCGGGAGCCUGAACCAGCCAAGUCGCGUGAGGGAAGACGGUCCUAUGGAUUGUAAACCUCUUUUGUCGGGGAGCAAAGGGGCCACGUGUGGUCAAAAGCGAGAGUACCCGAAGAAAAAGCAUCGGCUAACUCCGUGCCAGCAGCCGCGGUAAUGCGGAGGAUGCGAGCGUUAUCCGGAUUGAUUGGGUUUAAAGGGUGCGUAGGCGGGACGGUAAGUCAGCGGAAAAA
rnacentral:rRNA from 1 species